UGCCAGCAGCCGCGGUAAUACGGAGGGGGUUAGCGUUGUUCGGAAUUACUGGGCGUAAAGCGUACGUAGGCGGACUAGUUAGUCAGAGGUGAAAUCCCAGGGCUCAACCCUGGAACUGCCUUUGAUACUGCUAGUCUUGAGUUCGAGAGAGGUGAGUGGAACUCCAAGUGUAGAGGUGAAAUUCGUAGAUAUUUGGAGGAACACCAGUGGCGAAGGCAGCACUCUGGGCCGGUACUGACGCUGAGGAGCGAAAGCGUGGGGAGCGAACAGGAUUAGAUA
rnacentral:rRNA from 1 species